AUUGAACGCUGGCGGCAGGCCUAACACAUGCAAGUCGAACGAGUGGCGGACGGGUGAGUAAUGUCUGGGAACCUGCCUGAUGGAGGGGGAUCACUACUGGAAACGGUAUCUACUCCCGCCUACCAUCGGAUGUGCCCAGCUGGGAUUAGCUAGUAGGUGGGGUCAAGGCUCACCUAGGCGACGAUCCCUAGCUGGUCUGAGAGGAGGACCAGCCAAACGGGAACGGAGACACGGUCCAGACUCCUAGGGGAGGCAGCAGGGGGGAAGAUUGCACAAUGGGCGAAAGCCUGAUGCAGCCAUGCCGGGUGUAUGAAGAAGGCAUUCGGGUUGUAAAGUACUUUCAGCGGGGAGGCGUUACCCGCAGAAGAAGCACGGCUAACUACGUGCCAGCAGCCGCGGUAAUUC
rnacentral:rRNA from 1 species